GGGGACGGAAAACCUAGGAGGCGAACAAAAUUCCACCAAGAACCCUAAUCCCCAAAUCAGAAAACAGACCUGUUUUGAAGAGGCAAAGGAGUGAGGUUUGAGCUUCAUUGUUACCGUCGUCACCGCCGAAGGUGAGCUUUUUUAUGUUUCAGCCAUGGAUUCUUGCAUGAUUCAGAGUGACUGAGUGAGACGUGAGCGAUUGGGUUUGAUUGAGAGAGGUGAAUGCAUUUGAGAGAGGGUUUGAUUGAGAGAGGCGAGCGAGGUUAAAACAGCCUGAGCGAUGGAUGAAUCGUUGAGAACAAGAGAGAGGUUCAUGGAGAAUGGGCUUUGAGAGUGCGAUUCAGUGAGUGGUUGGAGAGGGAUUGAGGACGGAAUAGUUCCUCUCACCAUUUUCCUUUUAUUUCUUUUCUUUCUUUUUUUUUUUAAACAGAAUAAAAUUUUGGAAACCAUUAAUUUUUUUUUAUGCUUAAAAUUCCUAGGUCUUAGUUAAUAAUUGUUUUUUAUAUUUUCAAUUUAUACCCCAUUGAAAAACCCAACAGCCAAGCGGCUGGGUUUAAUUUUGAUAGUCCAACAGAUUUCUUUUUUUAUUAGUUUUAUAUUUUAAUUCAAAUUUUUAAUCUAUCUUGGUUUAUAUAUCCAAGUUGUUGUUG
rnacentral:lncRNA from 1 species